UCAACCAACAAUAUAGUGCAAAGAUAUCACAAGUUAUGCCUCUCUCGGUUACAUGAACUAGUGAAUAUAGAUGCAACAAUUAAAUCUUCCAAAAUGAUUCAAUACAUAAAAUUAGAGUUAUACCCCCACAAACAUUCAUCAAUACACCAAAUCCAUCAAACCCUAAAGAGAACUACUCCAUAGAUAUGGGGAAAUUCAUCACAAAUAUAAUUAAAGUAUAGAAAAAUAUAGAUUCGAUCCAAACUCGGGUCUUGAGUGAAGAAUGAAUGAUGAAAUCCUUAUGCUUGUGUUCUUCCAACUCCUCCUUAGCUUCCUUAGGUCGAAAGUGUGUCCAAACUCCUCUCAUAAACUUGUUUCUAGUGUAUUUGUACCAAGUAGGAAUGAACCCGGACAAAACUACCCUCUUUGAAUCGAAGUGGGAAAACCUACAAACUUUUUACACUUCACGCGCCGCACUAUGCCACGUAGGGUGCAUAGCAUUAGUGCAAUUUGCUCGAUUGUAAACUCUCUGAACUUAGCUUGUCUAACAAAAUUUUGUACUGAUGCGAUGCACUACGCCACGCACUAUGCCUAGCAUUAGUGUAUAUUCUGUCAGAGCCAAAAACUCCAAGUCUCUGAACUUCUCAAACUUCUGACAAAAUUUUGUACUAAUGCGAUGCUUAAUGUCACGCCUUAUGCGACGCACUAGUACUUUUUUCAUCUAGCCCUUGGUCUUUCUUCCAACUUUCAUAUGCAACGCCGGUCCACGAUCCCUGGACACGAUCCUGGUUUAGUUCUUUGGCUUUUACUCAGACUUCAAAGAUCCAAUUAUUCGAUUUAGCUGCAGAACAUCUUCUUAACUCGGCAUCAUCUCCUAAAAAGCAUAAAACACACAAUCAGUGCAAAACACUACCAAUUAAAGCUCAAACACAAGUAAAGUGCAGUGAAUUAGAGUGCAAUAAGCGAUUAAAAUACGGGAUUAUAGCCUACCAUCAAUACAUCACAUAAGUACUGCCUAAGUCUACGUAGAAUGUUUCUCCAAUGUCUAUGUCACACCUCCUUUUUCCCGAGGGAUAGGGAGUUUUUCAAAUUAAAGUGAUAUUUUUCGAAAUGGGAUUAUUUAUUUAAUCGAAAUCGCAACUUGGAAUAAUUUAUGGUGUCCCAAUUUACCGAUUUAUUUUUAAAUCCCAAAUUGAGGAAAUUGACUCUGUUUUAAAGUCCGCAAAACUAGAAGAUCGAUAAGGAAUUUUGUUAACCCGGGAAAAAGUGUGAGGCACCCCGAGUUCCGUGGUUUUAGCACGGUCGCUCAACUAUUAAUAAUUGGCCUAAUUAUCUAAUCUAAUACAUGUUUAAAACCUAUUGUGUAUUUUUAAUGUUUAACCGCUUUUAAUAAAAUUUUAAUUGCUUUUAGAAUUUAUUUAAAUAAGUUGCAAUGUCGUGCACUCGUUUGGUUUUUGUACAUAUUGUGAAUUGCGUCACGUGAAACGCAUUCGCGAUUCACAACAUGUUGAUUUUAUUAUUAUUUGAAGUUAGAGUCGAGUCACGUGAAAUGCACACUCAAAUUAGGAUUUAUGUAUCGUGACCAUUUCCACGAGAACAUACCCAUGGCCAUGGUGGUCCAUUAAUCGUGCCUAGGGAUGACAAAAUAGUUCAAAGAAAAUUGUUAACCACACAUAUUAUCCACUAAAAAUGGAUUGGAUAAUGAACUUUUUAAAAACAGGUCAAAUAUGAAUAAGAACCAUAUUAUCCAUUUAGAAAAUGGGUAACCAAUGAGUAACCAAUGGGUCUAACUUUUAUAUUUGUAAAGCCUCAAAUUGGGGGUUCCUCAAGUUAGAGAGACUAAGAAUUCUCCAAAAAAUGAUCAUAUACAAGAAGUCAUGGAUAAUAUGAGUAACCCAUAUUAUCUGUCGGUUAAUCCAUUUUUUAUCCAUAUUAAAUAUGGGUCGGGCCAAAUAAUUGAUCCGUUUUGUUAUUAUUUGUUGUCAACUCGAACCAUAUUCGACCCGACCCGUCCGUUUGCCACUCAUAAUCGUGCCUAAAAGAAAACUAUGUUGUUUAUGAGUUAAUUAUUUUCCUAAGAUCUAGGGUUUGUUUGCGAGGAUCAGAAGGCUAUGGACUACAACAUUAGAAGAGCGUAAUGUGCGAAUUAUCCAAACCAAACUUUGAAUGAACUUCUUCUAACAGUUGCUUCAUCUUGGCAUUUGCAUUUUAGUCUUUGAAUGGGCUAAGUCCUCAUUAUCAAUAUUGUAACCUUGCUGAAUUCAAACAAAGAAGGAAGAUAAUAAAACUUAUUAUAUUAUAAACAAUUCCAUAGUAUACUACAUAUGUUGCCAUAUCACCUCAUAAUUGAACCGUUCACUUUGCAAAAUUAGUCCACUACGUCAGUAGGCACUUUUCCUUUGAUUAUUGCAUUCUGUUUCUUCUAUGAAAUCUUAAUGUUGACAAAUUGUUUAGCAUCACAUACUUCUUCAAAUUUCGUGACAUGAAUACAGUGCCGCAAGGACUCAAAAUUCAGAGAUGAAUAACAAACAUAACAAUCUACCCUUUGGCAAAUAAAUUUAACCAACUGGUGGCCAAAUCUACAAGUCAUGAGCUAAAUAAAGCGAGACAAAAUUGCAAGCAUACUCGAGACAACAUUAACAGUCACAAAUCAGAUAAUGAAAUUACACUCAACUAUCAUAUAAUCGUUUGUUUCAAUUCAGACAAUCAGGAACAAUAAUCUACGCACACAGAUCUUGAGUAAAGCACAUUUUGCCUUCACAAAUUGAUAAUUACAUACUUUUGAGAAGAGAAAAAUAGAAUACCUUGUUUAUGACAAAUUCUAAGGUAACAAAUCGGGAAGCAAGGGAAUAAUGGAGCUCAACAACUAUUCCAACAACUUAACAGCAGAAAUCGAACGUUGAUUUGAAUCAAAAUUCUGUUUAAAAACCCGAAAGUGUGGAAUAAACACAACAAUAGAAGAGCAAUUUCAAAAAUUGCGUUUGAUUCUAAUCUCUCUCUAAUUUUCGAACCUUUUGUUCCAAAGCUCAGAAAUGACUUUUGAAUUACAAAAUCGAUUUUAUAUUCUAGCCAGUGUUUUGAACAUGUGUGUAGAUGAGGGGAUAUUGUGUGUUUUUGGAUGGGAGUGGAGGGAGAGAAAGAAACAAUGAUGGAGGAAUAUGGGGGCUAUUAUGAUGGACGGAAGAGAUGAAGAGGGGGAUGGCGGCUCCUAGGGUUAGUCAAAUAGGGGAGGGGAUCUGUUCUUCUGUUGUGAAGAAAAGGGGAGGUCUGUUGGGGUUAAAGAGGGAGUUGGGUCGGGUUUAAAAAGAUCUGGGCUAGAGCAGAUUUGCACAAUUGGGCCAUUGAAAUUAUUCUUUGGCCCAAAUUCUAAGUAAGACCCAAAGAACUUUAAUUCCUCGUCUUUGCUUUUCUUAAAAAAU
rnacentral:lncRNA from 1 species